rnacentral:rRNA from 1 species
CCUACGGGUGGCAGCAGUGGGGAAUAUUGCGCAAUGGGCGAAAGCCUGACGCAGCGACGCCGCGGGAGGGAUGAAGGUCUUCGGAGCGGAAACCUCUGUCAGCAGGGAAGAACGGUCACUGUGCUAAUCAGCAGUGAAUUGACGGUACCUGCAAAGGAAGCACCGGCUCCCUCCGUGCCAGCAGCCGCGGUAAUACGGAGGGGGCUAGCGUUAAUCGGAAUGACUGGGAGUAAAGCGCUCGUAGGCGGUAUGUCAAGUCAAGGGUGAAAUCCCCGCGCUCAACGUCGGAACUGCCUUUGAACCUGGCAAACUGGAGUGUGUGAGAGGAUAGUGGAAUUCCAGGUGU